rnacentral:rRNA from 1 species
CUUAACGGGAAAAUUGCCAAGGAAACUAUCAAAAUAGAGGUAGGCAGAGGUAAACGGAACCUGUGGUGUAGGAGUGAAAUCCGUUGAUAUCACAGGGAACACCGAAAGCGAAAGCAGUUUGCUAGGCCUAUCCUGACGCUGAGGUACGAAAGUGUUGGUAGCGAAAGGGAUUAGAUACCCCUGUAGUCAACACCGUAAACGAUGAUCACUAGAGAUUAAGCGGCAUCGACCCCGCCUAGUCUCGAAGCUAACGCGAUAAGUGGUCCGCCUGGGAAGUACGAUCGCAAGGUCUAAACUCAAAGGAAUUGACGGGGGCUCGCACAAGCGGUGGAGCGUGUGGUUUAAUUCGACAAUAAGCGAAGAACCUUACCAGGACUUGACAUCUCCGGAAUCCCGAUGAAAAUCGGGAGUGCCUUCGGGAGCCG